GUGAGAUUGCCUUUGAUUAUUAAGAGCCAAGUAUUAGAAUAGCAGUUUCUGUGCUUUAGAUGUUGAUAAAAACAAAUUAACCUCAAAUUACUUCAGUGAAAAGUUCGAAAUAAAAUCUCGCCCUCUUGUAUUUAUUACUUUAUGGAUGGUGGUGCAGAAGUUAGGCAUACAGGAGAGCUAUUGUUUCAUUUGUAAAAUUAUAUCCAUUUUUGAGAUCAUGGUCACAAAUAAAUGGAAGAAAAAUGGUGUCUGCGUUCCAAAGCGUUCUCAGGCUCAUCCCUGGAGAGUUAACUGGAUGCAAUGUAUUGUCAGAAAGCUCUGGGGGCUACUUGUUCAAGUUGUGCUGCCGUACUGAUUAGAAGAUGUUUACAGAGUUUUAAGAAGCUCUCCCUUGAAAGGAUCAUUUCCCCAGAUCCUACAGGAAAAGAUUCUUUCAAGGCUGAGGUCAUCCUGUGCCACUACAUGCCUGAAGCUUUAGAGCUGAACGUUUCCAAAGACAGAUGACCUUGUCAUCUUUGGCUAUUUAUGUCUGGUCAUGUGGUGGUGUGUGGAAUACUCGCCCUCUCCGCCUUCUCUCUCGGCACUGCAUGAUCCUUGAGGAUGGUGAUUCUAACUUGUCCUGUUAACAGUAUGCCUCUCCAUCUACGAGAAGGAUUUUUCAGAGACCUACCCAUGUUUCAAGGCAGAGGGAACGGAGCCAGUGCAAAGAAAAAGAGAACGGAGCUAGGGAACCGGCCUUGAAGAAGAGAGGGAUGGUACUUGAGAGUUUUAAACAUCCCUUCAUAUGACGCAAAGGCUGCCUUUCUAUGAACACGAAGAUCAUGUAAUUGUAGUACAAUUCCAGCGCCUUUUUUCCUCUGGGAAUUCUGCUGCCUCAAUUAACCGGACUUCAGUCAGGAGACGCCGGAUUCAGCUUCCUCCUCAGAAUAUUCAGGUGGGAGAGAAACCUGCCGUCUGUCCUUCUGAGCCCAAGAGGAUUCCACCCAAAGCUUCCAGACGGGCCUUCAGGACUUCCCAAUCUCCUCGUGUAAUCUCUUUCAGGGCUUCGCAGCUUACUCUUCAAAAAGCUUUUCUUUGA
rnacentral:lncRNA from 1 species